rnacentral:rRNA from 1 species
AUGGACCUUGGACGCCUUAACUAUGGGGUCAUUACCCUGAUCCCCAAAGUCUCGGGGGCCUCGGACAUUCACCAAUUCUGCCCGAUCACUAUGAUCAACGUGAUCUUCAAGAUCUUGGCUAAAGGGUACGCCAAUAGGAUGACCCUUCUCCCGGACUCUGUCACCCACCCUAACCAAUCUGCCUUCAUCCAAGGCCGGUUUAUUCUGGAUGGGGUGCUGGUCUUCCAUGAAGUCCUUCAUGAAGUCCGAUCCAAGCACCACCGUGCGAUCUUCUUGAAGCUAGACUUUCACCAAGCCUAUGACACUAUCCAUUGGCCCUUCCUUUGGGAAGUUUUGCUCCGCAAGGGCUCCAACGACCGGUGGGUGACCCGAGUUAUGCAACUCGUCACCUGCGGUCGGACGGCGGUUAACAUUAACGGUGAUAUCGGGUCUUACUUCCCCACCUUAUGUGGGGUAUGCCAGGGUGACCCGUUCUCCCUGUUUUUGUUCAACAUGGUAGUCGAUGCCCUCACGGUCAUCCUUGAUAAGGCCAAAGCUUGUGGCCAUAUCCGCGGCGUAGUCCCCCACCUAGUGGGAGGGGGAGGGGUCUCCCUCCUUCAAUAUGCGGACGAUACCAUGGUAAUGGUGGAGGGAUCCGCGUCCGACAUUGCCAACCUAAAGUUCCUCCUCCUGUGUUUCCAAUAG